CAGCAGCCGCGGUAAUACGUAGGGUGCGAGCGUUAAUCGGAAUUACUGGGCGUAAAGCGUGCGCAGGCGGCUUUGCAAGACAGAGGUGAAAUCCCCGGGCUCAACCUGGGAACUGCCUUUGUGACUGCAAGGCUAGAGUACGGCAGAGGGGGAUGGAAUUCCGCGUGUAGCAGUGAAAUGCGUAGAUAUGCGGAGGAACACCGAUGGCGAAGGCAAUCCCCUGGGCCUGUACUGACGCUCAUGCACGAAAGCGUGGGGAGCAAACAGGAUUAGAUACCCUGGUGGUCCACGCCCUAAACGAUGUCAACUGGUUGUUGGACGGCUUGCUGUUCAGUAACGAAGCUAACGCGUGAGGUUGACCGCCUGGGGAGUACGGCCGCAAGGUUGAAACUCAAAUGAAUUGACGG
rnacentral:rRNA from 1 species